AGCUUUGCGCAGUGGCAGUAUCGUAGCUAAUGAGGUUUAUCUGAGGUGCGAUUAUUGCUAAUUGAAAACUAAAAUGGCCCGCAGAUCCUCAUGCACUCCCAGGUGGGGCUUUUGCAAUGACUGGAUCAUGGGUGUGA
rnacentral:snRNA from 1 species